CUGAAAAUAUAUCAUGCAAAUCUGUCUUAGUAGCAGCAUAUUUAAUCUUCUUUUGGUACAAGGAUAACGUACUUGGAUUUGAAAUGGAAGAAAGAAUACUGUUGUUACAUAUUGUUGCAUGUUGCUAAAAUGUUGUUAUCAUCUCCAAGGCUUUGAUUAAUUAACUCUAGAUUAUUAUUGAUGAAUAGCUAUAUUUUUAUGCUUUUUCCUGUGUAAGAUGAUCAGGAUAUAGUUUAUAGCUGCUCUUUGCAACUUGGUCAAAUUUUGGAAGAAAAGAUGAUACCAAAAGUGACAAAUCCUCCAUUCGUGCUCAAAUCUUCGAAUGGUUCCCCUCUCAAUUCUGGAGGAGGAAUUGGUGCCCAGCAGCAUGGAGGUACUUUGGCCCAUUUUUUUGAGCUGCCCACAUCCGUAAGCUCCUAUCACAUGGUAAUUAAGUCCAUAUAAGGAACAGAAAAAAGAUUUGAUUUCAGUGCUGUAUGUAGGUUUUUUAAUAGAAAAAUCACAUAGGCAGUACAAACCUGCAAAAAAGCUGUUGCAAUAAUCACAUCUGAAUGUUCUUUGAAACGCAUUGGGAAUACUGCAGCGAUUUUUAGUGGCUUCCAAUCCGGAAAUAGUAAGAAAAUACAUUGUGAAAGUUCUAAACCUGAAUCUGAUAUGGUAAGAGUAAAGUACUACUUUUGGUCAAAAUCUGAAUAGAAAGGUUUAGCCAAGUAUUGUGGGAAUUUUCUGUAUGCCUGAAGUUUAAAGUAAACUGAAGAUUUAAGUUAUUUAAACUUUUGAAUGACUUGAAUUUGGAAUGAACCAUCAAACUAUUUCGAAUGCUAACCACAUUUUGAGAAAGGCCAAAGAAUAAGGCAAUUUUUUAUGUUUCUACCUUAUGAGUUAUCAACAACUAUAAGUUUUUGGCAUAUGGAGUGAUUAGGGUAUUCUGCAUGAGGUUGGAAGAUAUAACGCAAAUGAGUUGCAAAUGUCUUGUGGAUAUGUAGUUACUGCAUUUGAAGCCUUUUAAGGCAAAUUGAGGUUUGUUACAUAAUGGAAUUAAGGUUAUGGUGUCCAUUGUAAUACUACUCCUCACGAUUCCAUUAUUUUUAGACUUGGAGCUUACCUGUUUGAUGACAUAAAAUGUCUCUCUCGGGUGAUAGACUAGCUUGAUUGGUUUGCACAUCCCUUGAAAAGUAUCCUCAGAGUUGACAGUCCACAACAUUUCUUUCAGCUGAGAACUUAGUAUUGUUGCUUGCACCGUAGAAAUUUCUGAGAUUACCUUCAUAGAGUCUGGAAAAAGAAUAUGGAAUCAAUCUAGCUAUAUUAGGAACUAUGGACAUUUCAUUGGUUUGUGUAAUAAUGCAUUCUCUCUCUCUCUGUGUGUGUUGGAUGCUAAUGCUAUAGUCAUGCUUUUCUGGUAGUUGUGUUUUAAAGAAAAGGGAAAAAAGGACUGAGCUUCCUUGAGAGAGGAGCAAAGAAUUGUUAGUGAAAUCUUAGGUAUCUUUACAUUGUGAACAUCAACUUAUUUUUGUUCUUGAAAAUUUUACUUUCUUCUCAUCUUUUUUCUUGACAUUCAAAUUUAACAUUUUAGUCAGCCAAUUCACCAUUAUUAUUUUAUUAAAAAUGAACAAACCUUACCUUUGAUUCAAACAUGUAGUCAUUCUUAUGGGACACAAAUUACUACUAUAUAUUGUGGCAAAGUGCCUACUAUUAUUGAGAUUGGGUGAAGGAUAAACAGACCUUUACCACGUGGAAUCUUAGAUAAGUUGAGUCUUAGAGUAAGCUGGUAUCCCUCUUUAGCAGGUUGAACAAUCUCCACAACAUCUAAAGAAAUGGCCUUUACCAUCUCCAUACUGUAAUGUGAAAGCCCAUAUGAUAGCAAGUCUCCUUGGGACAGUAGUGGGGUUGAUAUUGACAAGUAGGCAUGCUGCGGAUCUGACAGUGAAGACUGUUCAACAAUAAGAGGCCAUUUACAGUAAGUCUCAAAUUCUUUCUUGAAAGCCUAUUUAUAUGUUUUAUGUCAUCACAGUAUAUGCACACUCUUAUAACUAGUACUUUAUCCCUAAAAAUUUACUUAUUCUGAUAUGAGAAUUGGUUUAAUCUGAGUCUAGCAGAUUCCACUAUUCUUUGCUAAAGAUAUGCUUCAGUAAUCUUUCCAACUAAGUCGAGUAUUUGCUUUUUUUUUUUUUUUAAUUCCCAAAUGCAGAUUGGCUCUUGAAUUGUGAUUUUCUGACCAUGUACAUAUGGACUAUUUUCUCGAUUGGUCGCAUGAAUUGACUGGAUGUCUAAAUUUCAAAAUACAAGAAGAUUGUGGAAAGUUCACCUGAACAUGGUAUUCCACUGACCCAAAUUCAUGCAAGUGAUGAUCAAUCUCAAUUGGUUUAUCAGCACUGUCAUGAAAGGAACAAUAGUUAUCAUUAGCAUAAUUUUGCAGUCAUCAACAAUAAACUACUACUUUUUCCCAAGUGAUAAUAUGCUCUUGUAGGCCUAAUUUACUUUAAAAAAAGGAUCACUGGUCAGUUAACAAGUAUGAUUUGCAGAUCUACAGUUAUAGCUUAUAGUUCUUAUGCUGCAUUUGUGUUGUUGAGUGAUAUGAUGUCAAGAUUUAACUGAACCAAAUGAUAGAACCUGUCAAGAUGCUGUUUGAUCGUGUGUUUCACUUGCUGAAUUUGAGGCUGUCCCUAAGAAAAUUAUGGAAACAAAAGUGUUCCUUGCUUUUGUGGUGGGAUUGGAUUUAUUAUCAAAUAUGCUAAGAAUUCUUCUGUUAAGCUUUGUCCCACCAUCUACAUACAUUAUUUCUGGACACAUCAUUGUUUUGUCUGCCUGUAAAUCAAAAGUUCCUGUCUAUAACUAUACUAGAGACGGUGUGGCUGUCAUUUAUGAGAAACAUUAUCUGCAGCUGCUCCAUUUGGUUGUGUUACAACUUCCUAUAUGAUUUCUAGCUUUGACAUUUGAGGGUGUAAUCAUUGAUUCAUGUAUUCUGAUUUUUAUGAUGACAAGGUGACUGAUAUCUAGCCAUAGAAGGGAAUCUUGACUUGGGUUUCUGUAACUAUCAAGUGUAUAAGGUAAUAAGGAUUGUCAUUUGGUAUGGUUUUCAGUUACAUUCAGAAUUAUACUAAUGUUUUAAGAUAUACAAACACACAUGCACACACACUACUAAUUCACCUUUCUAUUUCAGGAGUGCAGUAUUGCCAUGUUCAUCUUUUAAACUGAACUACUCAUCACCAUGCAUGGAGUAUCAAGGUAUGAAAAUGUAUGCAAGCAGAAGCAAAAGUAAAAUAUUUUAUGAUUUUCCAUAAGUUCAAUAAGGGUACCUGGGAAUUUUCCUUAGACAAAAUAAAUGUGCUUACCGGUACAAUUGGAGCAGGAUCUUUUUCAGAGAUGGAGAGGCUCUCUCAAAACAUGCCAUGAUAAUGGGUUAGAAAAUGAACUGAAACACUCAGUUGUUGCACCUUAAAUUUGUUGUGAAGAUAAGGAAUUUUGGAGUAAAAUGCAAGUGUAAUUUUCUGUUGCUA
rnacentral:lncRNA from 1 species